AUGGACAUGAGGGCCCCAGCUCAGCUCCUCAGCCUCCUGCUGCUCUGGCUCCCAGAGGCCAGGUGUGAGAUCCAGAUGACCCAGUCUCCAGCCUCCGUGUCUGCAUCUCCAGGAGACAGAGUCACCAUCACCUGCCGGGCCAGUCAGGGUGUUAGCAUAUGGUUAAACUGGUAUCAGCAGAAACCAGGGAAAGCUCCUAAGCCCAUGAUCUACCAUGCAUCCAAUUUGCAUCCCGGGGUCCCAUCCCGCUUCAGUGGCAGUGGAUCUGAGACAGAUUUCACUCUCACCAUCAGCAGUGUGGAGCCUGAAGAUGCUGCCACUUACUACUGUCAGCAGUGGAAAGCUGUUCCUCUCACAGUGAUACAAACCUGA